UUGGAUUCCCAAUUUAACAUGGUCUUUAGUGACAUCAGUUGGUUUAAACAUUGAGUUGGUUUCAUAGAAGCAAGCAAAAUGUGCCUAUGGGUCUCUAUUAAAGUUAGCAGGGUCUGCCGGUACAAACCCUAUUGAAACCUGUAACUUGUUAGUGCAUUUGUAGUAAUCCCCCAUAGUUAGGGGUUAUGUAGUUGCCAUAACUUCUUCUUCAGAGUCAUAAGAACUUGAUAGUUUCUCUUCUUCUAGUAUUCCUCCAUCCAGAGCUGCCUCUCUAACUGCUUUUCUGAGAGCAUGUGUGGUUCUUUCAAUUUUUAGAUCCAAUGGAAUUAAUAUUGAUCCUGAAUUGCGCAUACACAAAUAGAAAACGCCU
rnacentral:lncRNA from 1 species